rfam:Salmo salar isolate Sally breed double haploid chromosome ssa19, whole genome shotgun sequence.
CGUAACAACUACUGUAAGUCGCUCGGGAUAAGAGCGUCUGCUAAAUGACUAAAA